UCGAGGAGCCGCUCGCUGCAGCCUGUAGGAAGGCGGAGUUGGACAUCCAACCCCGCCCACAUCCAACUCCGCCCAUGUCCAACUCCGCCUUACGUCUAAAGCAACACCCACCUUACGUCCGUCACGAACGCCUACAUUUACUCCAGGUAAACAGGAAUUAUAGCCGAGAAAGCAGCUAAAGCAUCUAUCUGAUUUAUAUCUCCGGUUAUGGCGGUAAGUACAAAUAUUGAGUUAUUUUUUAAGUUAACAGAGCUAUUUUUAUAAUGUCCUCUUGUUUUUCUAUAUUAUAUUUUAUGAAUAAACAGUGAGUCGUUGAUACGAACCCUUACUGUGAAGGUUCUACAUCGGCGCGUGUACCAUGUGGUUUGUUUGCUUCUAGCUAGUCAUAUUGCCGUUUUUUUUUUUUGAUGGAUUCUAAUGCAGAAUUGCACCCAGUCUUGUCUAAUUCAAACUUUAGUUAUCUUACCUUCUGUUUUAUGGGCUAAAAUGCUACCAAUUAAUGGUAUCACAGAUAAACUCUCAUAGCUAGUAGUGAGCUAGGCAUCAGUUUUGUUUUUAAGGCAUAGCUAGGGGUUAUAGUCAGCUAACCUAAAAAACUGUUUAAACUGUCUAUACAAGAAGUUAAUUGGCCAACAAGAUAGCAAGAUAAUCUAGCUAACUAAAAUUGGUUCAAAGUCUUAGUCAUACAAAUAAAUAUUUGAAAUGCUUAAUCCUCCUAUUUAAUUUGUCAGGAAUAGCAAUGGUAUUCCCGGGUUAAUUUGACCUGGUUCAUUUUUAAUUAUCCAAAAUAUUUCUGAAACCAAAAUAAUCCUAACCAGAAGAGUAAAUAUUUAAUAACUAACUCCAUUGCUGAUUGUUCUAUCAACAUUUAGUACAAUAGUGUACAAUAGAGGUAAUAGUUCAAUUAGGAUAAUUCACUUGUUUUUCCAUUUUAAAAAAUCUUACUUUUUUUUUGUUUUACUACUUUGUUACUUUAAAUGACCAACACAAUAUUUUUACAUAUAAAUGAAACAUAACAUUACAAUUUCGUUUUAGUUUUAGUUUUUGCAGGGGGUUGUUGCAAAUAUGAAAUUAACCAUUUUCAUGUUAUAUGUUAAUUAUACAAAUAAAGGCAAGCUGAAGACGUUUCAUACAGAAAAAAUACUUUUACUAUCUUACUAAAUGGGUCAAUUUGACCCGUAACGUAACAGGAGGGUUAAGUCGAUGCACAUUUAUUACCUUUGUACUGAAUGUAGUUACAAUUAAUGUGCACCGAUAUAGUAAUUGUAAGCUCAUGUUGUGUUUUGUUGCUUUCUGUUUUACAGCAUCCAACACAUGUUCAGGCCACUCCUGACCCUUCACGGUUUGGCCAGUGUGGUGUUUUCAAAUGCCCCUGCUUCAGUUUUGACACUGACCAGCGAUUUAAUAACAGCCUACAUCUACAAAACCAUAUCAAACAAGCAGUCGAGAAUAACGGAAAGUUCAGCGUGUUGAACGUGUGACUGAUGAAGGAGAUAGAAUGAGCAACGUCUCCUUUGAACAGAUGCCCCUUAUUCUCAUAGAUACAGUUCUGGAAGAGGGUGACAAACUUUUUUAAAGCUGUCACUGGUUUGUCGUCUCUUCCGGGACAUUGUUUGGACAACAAUCAUUCCGGGCCCGGGCACAUUUCGAGUGGCUUGACAGUGUAGUGCCAUGAAAACAUCACAGUGCUGCAUGUAAAGACGAGUUUCGCAGGAUGUACGAACUGCAGUGCUGCCAGAACUGUCAAGAAACUUAUAAAGACUGCAUACUGGGCUACGUUGGGCAUGGGAGACGAGGGGAGCUUGUGGCAUUUUACAGCGAAAACGAGCACCCUGGAUUCUGCAGCCAGCUUCAUGAGUGGCUGGGUGUGUGAGUGGCUGGGUGUGUGAGUGGCUGGGUGUGUGAGUGGCUGGGUGUGUGAGUGGCAGGGUGUGUGAGUGGCAGGGUGUGUGAGUGGCAGGGUGUGUGAGUGGCAGGGUGUGUGAGUGGCUGGGUGUGUGAGUGGCUGGGUGUGUGAGUGGCAGGGUGUGUGAGUGGCAGGGUGUGUGAGUGGCUGGGUGUGUGAGUGGCUGGGUGUGUGAGUGGCUGGGUGUGUGAGUGGCUGGGUGUGUGAGUGGCUGGGUGUGUGAGUGGCUGGGUGUGUGAGUGGCUGGGUGUGUGAGUGGCUGGGUGUGUGAGUGGCAGGGUGUGUGAGUGGCAGGGUGUGUGAGUGGCAGGGUGUGUGAGUGGCAGGGUGUGUGAGUGGCAGGGUGUGUGAGUGGCUGGGUGUUGCAUUUUUAAAUAAAGACUUCUGUAUUUGUUUGACCAAAGCAUGUAACCAAACAUUUUAAAGGCUAGUGUGCCAAUAAAUGCCAAUAAAGAUAUUGUAUUAGCUUGGACAAAGUGUUUGUAAAUGGAGUUAAUUUCCCUGGGAACUACUGUCAGCCAUACAAAAUUGGGAGAGGAGAAGCAGGAAAGGGAUAUUAUUAUUAUUAUUAUUAUUAUUAUUAUUAUUAUUAUUGACAAAAUAGCUAUGUAUACAUAUGAUAUUUUAAUUUCUGAAACCACAGCAUUUGAUAUAUUGUACUCUAUCGUUAUACACUAUCCAGCAUACCAUUAUUACCACCUGCUUGUUUCUGCUUCUAUUAUUCUUUUUUUUAGCUCCAAUUAGCAUCUAGGACACUUUAGUUGCAUAAUGGUUUACUGGUGUAUAAUAUACAAUAGGUAUAAAACACUGUUCACUCUAUUAGACACUUCUACCAACAGCUGCUUUACAUUGUGACUGAAAAGUCAGAGACAGAAUCUUUAAAUCUGUUGCUGCACAGUUUGUUGCUCAUCUGCAAAUUCUUCAUCAGUGCCCAUGGGAUGCUGCCUACUUGAUGCUGAAUACAGGACGCUGCCCACAUGAUGCUGGUUGAUGGAGCAUUUCCUGUCCAGUAGUGACAAUGAGGUGUUUAAAUUCUCCAGAGGCACUACUUUGUCGGAUCCACUCAUACCAACACAGCUCUUAACACCACUAUGUCAGUGUCACUGUAGUGUUGUGAAUAACCAACAAGCCACAUAAUAGCUGCUCUGUGGUGGUCCUAAAUUGUAUGCUAUACAGUGCAGCUGUGUCAUUCUCAUCUGUAAUAUUUUCAGCACCCUGUUGACAGUGAAGAUGCAGAAUUACUUCUAAUAUCAUUAUUAUAUAUUAGCUAUGACUAUGACACAAAUAGCCUUCCCCCUGCUGAGUGGUGAUAAGAAGCACUCUGUCUAUC